UACGUAGGGGGCUAGCGUUGUCCGGAUUUAUUGGGCGUAAAGAGCGUGUAGGCGGCCAAGUAGGUCCGGUGUGAAAACUCGAGGCUUAACCUCGAGAUGUCAUCGGAAACCAUUUGGCUAGAGUCCGGAAGAGGAAAGUGGAAUUCUCGGUGUAGCAGUGAAAUGCGUAGAUAUCGAGAGGAACACCUGUGGCGAAAGCGAAUCUCUGGACAGUUCCUGACGCUGAGGCUCGAAGGCUAGGGUAGCGAAAGGG
rnacentral:rRNA from 1 species